CACAGGCUGUCAUUUGAGGAACUUGUCACAACCCUUUGUUUCCUAUCUUGUUUUGGGAGGAUACUUCUGUUCCCUUGGAUUGGACCAUGUCCAGUUCUCACCCUUAAGGCCUUUCCUUGUCUUAGUCAAUUUAACUCCUCUGCUCUGUAAUCCUUGGAUUACAAAACAAGUUGUUUCUCCUUUCCAGGGACAAGAGGAGCUUCCCUAUUGUUCUUAAUUCUUAGGGCAGAGAAAAAGGCACAAUCAUAUUAACUUGUAGCAGACGAGAAGGAAUUGGGUAGAUUAGUGAAAUCCUUUAUUCCUGCUGAUUUUUUUUUCUUUUUAAGACGAGGUCUUGCUCUUUUAUUCAGGCUGGAGUGCAGUGGUGUGAGCACAGCUCACUGCAGCCUCAAACUCCUGGGCUCAAGUGCUGCUCCUGCCUCAGCCUCCUGCAAAGCUGGAACUACAGAGGCAGCACUCAAGCUCUGAUUCUCACUGUUGCCCAGCGUCAGUUGUUUAGCAGACAUGAUUUAGAUUGCUACAACCCGUUUAUACGUGAUCAUUUAACACACGGGUGUUAAGUUCAUUCUUGCUGCAAAAGAAGGCCAUUGUACCUCCUGACCCUGAAAGCAAGGGACACUGGAUUUUGUGGAUGCUCCUUGGACACACUGGAAUGCACCUUGGGCAGCCCGUGGAUCAUUUUCCCCAGUAUGAAGCAUGGGAGGAGCUGGAAAAUGAACUCAUGAGCCAGUUGAGCCAGCACAACAAGCUGGAGCCAGGAGUCUGGCUGGGCUAGCUUUUAUCUUGUGCUCCCUGGAACCCUGACUGGAUGAUUUCUGAAGUCGAGCUGGAGCCCAUCUAGAGGGAAGGUGAAACUUCUCCUCAGCAUGCAGGGCCUCCUGCACCCACACUGCCACAGCCACCGCAUUACCAGCUCCUGCCAGUCUGAGGAGCAAGAGGCUGGCAUGAAGAAUCAGUUCCAUUCUUUCCUCCCUAAAUUUAGAAAAAGCCUGUUUUGCAAAGCUUUCUUCAGUGUUUCAAGACAAAAAAAAAAAAAUUAAGCAGUUGCACAACAUGCAUAUCUUCUCCUGGCCUGCAGCUCCAGGAUAUGCAGCUGGGAGCGAGUGUCCAGCCAACAGCCCGUGUCUCAGGCCCUGCCAGGGGAUGAAUCAAUUAGCAAGAGAAGCAAUGAUGCAAAUGCUCCGGGGUCACUUGGGAUGCUGUUUGCCUUUUUGAUAGAGAAAGCACACCAUAAAUAACAUCACACCUCAGGAAAUCAUUCCAGGAGGCCCCGAUGCUGGCAGGGCUGCUGCCAGGGACGGAAGGAAUCGUUUGCUCAUUGUGUGUAUUUCCCCCAGCUCAGUCAAUGGGAGAUUUGUAGUAAAAUCAAAGUAUUUAAAAGGAGGACAGUAUGUGGUAACAGAGGCAUGUUUAGCAAUUUUUUUAGUACCAGAACCUGUGAUUUAUGACCCAGAGUUACAGCCAACUUUAUUACAAAAAUGACUUCACCCAUAAUAACCUUAUUCAGGGCCCUCUGAUGAAUGAUGUAGUAUCCAACAGCAUUAUAAUCUAGUAAAUAUUCAAACACAAUUCCCGCCUCCGCCUCAUUUCCAACCAACCCCUCAGAAGCAGGCUUCCCCCUUUACCUGCUGGGAGAAGUGGGGUCCUGGGUAAGGCUUUGUGCUCUGUCUGUGGGAGUUUGCCUGGAUCAGGCAUUUAUACUAAGCCAGGACAGAAAGUGACCUCCUGGGGUCUCAGUCAUAUCUUGUCCAACCUUGUCCCCUGAGGAGUAAUGAGCAGAAGACACCCACUCACCCUUCAUUUCCUCUCUGUGCUGAAACUUAUUUCCUCCCUGCAUUCCCCCACUCCUCCAGAGCUCAGAUCCCCACCACCUGAAAGGAGCUCCAGUAAGCUCCCUGACAUUUUUAAUUGCCAUGGUAACUGAGGGCUGCACUAAAACCGCCAGGGCUGGGUGUCCAAGCAGGGUCCCCUGGGCGUACCGGGAUCUAGAAACUAGCCCUCCAUCUUAUUAAACUCCGGUGUCAGUUCCUAGCAAUUGUUUUAAAUUUACACCCUCAGAGUGGCUUAGUGGGAUUACAUGUCCAUUUGCAUUAAAACAGUUUUCUGUCAUUAAACUGCCAUACAAUAAGCUUCCUUGGGACAAAUUAAUGAGCUCUAAAUAUCAUCAAGUAGAAGUUCACUUCAAGACAGGCAACAAGGAGGGGGGUCGGAAGGAAGUGGCUGCUCAGAAUCUCAUGGCCCAGGAGAACGAUAAGUGCCAACUAAAGAAGGGUCUUGUCCUGUUUCUUCACUGCACGAUAAGUGGUCCUGAUUUAGAGCUGAAUGGGGAGAUUUGGCAAUAUUCUCCCUGUUCGCCAAAAUCCUAUAGCUCAUCUUCUAUUCCUUCUUCCAAAUAUGACUUUACCCUUGACUUUGCUGAAAUUUGCUGAUGAAACACUGACCUCUUGUCUCAGUGACAAUGUCUCAGCCUCAUUUUCUUUGUCCUGUAGUUUCUCUGUCCUUGAGGAACUUGCGUGCAUCCACGUGGCCUGGGAACAACACGCACACAACGCAGCACUAUGUGUAGCUUGAACAAGUGCUCCCUAACUUUGUUAGUUCCCACACACUUUGCUAAAAUGCAUGUAUGAUUGCUACUGAACUGUCUGGGUCCUCAGACCUUAUCGGGACCCUGGAACACGAGUCCUGAUCAGGAGCACCUUUCAUGGUCAUCAGGAGCAGAAUAGGAACAGGGAACAGUUUAGCUUCUAAGACUGAAUUUGUCCUGCUCACAAGAAUCACCAGAGCUUGUCCUCACAAAUACAUAUGUGUGUCUAAGUAGAAAUUUUUCAUUAACACCAAAUAAACCCCCAAACCUUCCCUUAUGUAAAGGAAAUAAGACUGGCUGCUAGACAGACUUCUUGAUCCACAGAGGCUGUGAUCUCAUUUCUGUGUAGCCUUAACAGGGGACAGUAAUGUAUGAUUGAGACACUGCUAUAUUUAGGAAUGACAAGAUGAACAUUAUUAAUAGCUUAAUUGACAUUAAGGCAAUUACCCCUACCCUUAUUACAGUUUGUAGAAUUACACAGAAAAUAUUGGCUGGGGCCUUUUUUUCCCUAGAGCUACCCAAGGAUACAGCAUUUUAUUUCAUGCCAGAUCCCAGCUUUGACAUUAGAUACUUAGCCAUAGAAUGAUUCCAGUAAAUCAUUAUAAAUGCAUUAUAAUAAAGAUGUUAUGAGCUAUCAGAUAUUAACCCCCAACCCCUAAAGAGAGAUAAAUAGUCCAGUUGCAUGAUUCCCACUUUUGUUUCAUAAGAAAUAAGCUUUUGCAAAGAGCAACUGACUAAUGAAUUAUAAAAUGGUGUGUUGAGCUCAGAUAAUUAAACAAUGCAUUUUAGUGUCUAGUGCAGGAUGAACACUAAAUCAUACACAAAUAAAAAAGGUAAAAAUCUGAGCCCCAUGCCUAACUCCUAUUUUUGAAUAACAUUAAUGUUGGUCUACAGUCCAAAAAUGCUUCAACUAUUUUCUUAUCUGAUUAGAGAGGCAUAUCAAGUAUAAGAUCAAGGCACAGUAGGCAAACUAAACCAACAGUCAGAACAAAAACUGUGAAGGUGCUAAUUUCAGAUAAGCCCACAAGGUUAUUUUAAUGGAGAUUUUACAUGGAGAUUGCUUUUUCCCCCAAAGUGUUAAUGGGACAAAAGUCUAGAAGGACCUGGAAGUUUUCAGGUUUCCUUAUACUUUAUAUUUUCUCUGAACUCAUAAUAAAGCAUAUUAGUGGGAAUGGGAUCUAUGCUAUUGGUGGUGGUCUUAGCCUUAUAGUGUUGGAAAGAUGAAUACACAUCCUAAAAUCUUCUCUAGGUUGUGGAGGUGCAGGGAUGAGGAGGGGUUGGUUUGGGUUUCAACCAUUAUCCUCCCCAGGUGGUGGUAUCCUGCCCAGCAGGGCUUCAUCUAGUGGUCAACCAUGGAACACCAUGACAUUUUCACCAGUGGCCCUCAGACAGGGCUGGUUUGCCAUUGGCUGCCAUUUCCUGGCAUGUCGUAGAUUUGCUGCGUGAUUUGAAGCUGUGCUUCAGCACAUCCUGAAUGUGUUUUUUAGUCUUUCAGUAUCUCAAAGACAUGGUGUCCGCCUCAAGGUAGUCUCCUAUUUCUUCGUCAAAUAGCACAUCAUUAAGGACUGUGUGGCCAAAAUUACAGAUGGUCUUGGACUCUGUAUGGGCAAUGACCACCUGUGCUGGUAAUCGAGGCUUCCCUGGAACACCUGGGAACAUACCACACAGCCAGUCCUCUCCUGUGCUCCAGUCAAGCUUAACCUCACAGCCCGAUACUCCCUCCACUUCCCUAGCUCCAUGUGUUAGCCACUGCAGGUUAAUUGAUCUAAGGCUUAUUUUCUUCAAAUAUAAAAUGAAGAUAAUAAUGCCUACCCAGAGGGUCAUGUGAACAUUAAAUGAGAUCAAUUAUGUAAAGAUCUAUCUAUGCAGUGCCUUUCACAGAGUAUGCCCACAAAUAAAUGUUACCUGUUUCAUUUUAGUUAUCUAUGUUUAGCUAUCUUUGUGUUUUUUCUAUCCUGCUUCUUCUCGCUCCACUAUACUCUUACAUCCUAAUUCUCUCUCUCUCUCAUACACACAUACUUUGCUGUGUCUAGCACAGUGCUUUGCUUGUGGCUCACACUCUACAUGCUUGUUACCCUGAACUAUUAACAAAAGCAGCUGCUAGUAACAGUUAAUGUUUUCUGACCACCUACAUGAGCCAGGCACUAUGCUAAGUAUCAUCACUUCCUUUAAUUCUCACAAGCUUAUGAGACAAAUACUAUUUUAAUUCUCAUCUAUCGGAAAUUAAAGAUUAAAGAUGUUCUAUAACUUGCCCAAGGUCACACAAGCUCUUAAGUGGAUAGUCAAGAUCCAAACUCAGAACCGGCCUGGAUUUGAAAUCUCAGUUCUUAACUAUCACUGUGUCAGACUGAUUUUGUUAGCUUUUUCCUCCUUUAGACUGGGCCCUAUCAAGGGAUCAGAGAUAAGCAUGUACCCACUCUCAGAUGAGUGAUCCCACGACCUCAAGUUUUGAAGUUCCAGGAAGUCCAGAAGUGUAUGCUAACUCUAGUUUAUAGCUGUUCAAAAGUCACUUGUCUAAAAACUUCAGGGACAUUAUGUAAAACCAUCCAAAAAACAUUAUUGCACACCCCAUAAAGUUAAUUUCACUUUGCAAGAAUGUGUUUGAGGGAGGUGAUGCACUUGGCUAUGUAUUCAGGUUGGUGGCCACAAUAUAUGGAGCUGUGCUGUCAUCCUUGACACUCUGGCUUACUGGCAGCCUCGCUCCAACACACUGUCACAGGCGAGGGAUGGCCUCCCAGUCUUGACUCAGAACACUUAAGCUUCCUAAUGGUCCAAGUCUCACAAACCACACACCUCCCUUAAUUAAAAAAGUAAAUUAAAAGGAGUAUUUCAACUUAGGGAUGAAUUAUCUUAGUAAUUUAAGAUUGACAUUUUAUUGGAUAAAAGGACAUGUAUGAGUUUAUUUUAAAAUACUGCCUUCAUGAACAAGAGACCACAGAAAAGAUUAUCCUGAGGUUGCAAGGCGUUUGUAGAGCCAGAGGACACCCUUGCAAAACAGCCACUGUGAGAGGCCAGUUGCUGCAAAUCACAGGUCAGCCACUUCUACACUUGUCCUUCAAGCACAUCAGCCGGACAUUUGGAGUUUUCUAUAGUCUUCAUUUCAAACUCGAUCAUCCUGAGUGUUGUGGUGGACACUACUAGUGUCACAAAGAGUCCAGCACCCUCUCCUUCCAGGUAUAUAAACGGUGCAUUGCUGGGCUCCUUUGCAGUUGGAUAGGUCAGGUAAUUUGUCUGUUGUGAAGAGUUACUAUGUUUCACUUCUAAGCCGAAGCAUUUGAUUGUCAAUGGAAUACCCUCCAGCUCUCUCCUUCCCUGCAGAAGUAAUCUUGGAAGCAUGUGUUGAGAUGACAGAGUUCCCAAUAGCCUAGAUUCCUGAAUGACUUAGUGGAGCUGAGUCCUCCACAGGUCCAUGUUGGACAUGCACAAUCAGUGAGAAUAAACUUUUGUUGGAUUAAGUCACCGAUGUUUGGAGACUGUUCAUUACCACAACAAAAUGUAGCCAAAUCCCGACUAAUCCAGGAAUUAACCUUUUGUUCAGAAAAUACAGCCCUUCUAAGUCAUAAACCCAUAUUCUCUUUCCAAUAGCUUAUUAAAUGGUUUAUGUAUUUUCCAUCUUUUUGAUAUACUCUCAGAUGCCUAAAAUUACCACAGUGACCUUGGAUUGGACAAGGUAGUUGUUUGUCUUUUAGCCAUUAAUAAAUAUUGCUACUGUGGAAUGAGUGAGGGAAACAGAAGAAGACAAGGUUGGCCUUUUGAAAAUAAUAUGGCAUCAUGUAACGAUGAAAAAGAGAAAAAAUACAGAAAAAAGAGAAAACAAGAGAAAAAUGAAAAACAAGUCUAUAAGAGAGAAAAGUAGAGAAAAACAAAACAAUAGAAAUGCUGGGCAAUUUGUUUCAGAUUCACUAUAACCAACUGCUUGUUGUUGGGUUCUGCUCUAGAAGGCAUCUCUCAGGAUGCCUUUGACCCUCAGCACCUUUUUGUGUAUGUGCCUAGCAUACUGAGGUGCUCAAUAAAUGUUGAUUGAAAGGGUAAAUAAAGGAAUAAAUUUCCAUUUUAUAAUCUUGGAAGCAUAUAUUACUUUAAACGGCCUAUGACUAUGAAUGGACAUUCCAUUGCACAUUGAAAGGCAGUACAACAAGUGAGAAGGGAAGUAGAAAUAUAUGAGUUUGAAUAGCUCUUCAUAACCUUUAAACCUGAGUCCUUGCAAAGAGCAACUAUGAGGUCAGAGCAAUAAUUCUUUGUCCUAAAAACAGGACACCACUGAUAACUCAGAGCCGUCUGUUGAAGAAAGUGUUUCAAAUAAACUGGUUAGCAAUGCCCUUGUUUUGUUUGCCUCUGGAUGGGAAGAACUAGGAGUGCAAUCAGCACCGAGGUGUCUAUAGUCUUGAUGUGGUGGGAGAUGAAAGUAGGGGAACUGAAUAAUGUAUUUUUUCAAAACCUUGAAUGGAGCGAGAAAUACUGAUAAAAAGGAAGAGUUGUGAGUCAUUCUUCUGCUGAUGCCAACUGGGAAGCUCCAGUAGUAUAUUCCCCUGGUGAUGAAGUAAUUCACUUUUUCUGAGAUUAACAUUCUGUAGUAAGGCUGUUCCUCAUACAAGGUUGCUCACAGGUAAAGUUAAUAAAAGGCAGAGUCUAAGAAUUCAUAAGGAAGUUUGCCUUUCCAUGGGGAGAAAGCAUGCAAUCAGGGUCUCUAGUCUGUGUGCACACGUGUGUGUGCGCGUGUGUGUGUGCGCGCGCGCACUCAUAUGCACAGCUCAGAUGUCCAGGACUUGAGAUGAGAAUGGAAAGCACCGAAUAAGAAGAAAGCUGCCACACAGUAGGCUGAAGGAGAAUGACUACAACCUUUAGGCUGAAAAAAAAAAAACACUACAUGCUGGCGUGUAUCCUUGUGGAUAUGUGGAAACACAACAAAAAUAUUGGUCCAUCCUGGCUGCAGUUUUAAAGGAAAGGAAGAUCUCCUGGCAUCAACAUCUCUUGGAGAUGAACACACUAUACAUGCAAGUUCAAAUCUAUCAUCUUCCACCAGUCAACCCAAGCUACAUUCCCCUUCCAUUUAUUAUCAAAGGAAUAAGCACUUUUGUUUCCCAGGCUUAACUCCUCAAAAUCAUGAGCUUUUCUUCCCUACCUUUCCCUUCAUUCGAACUCUUUCCUUUCAAAAUGUUUAUAGAAUUCAUUCUUAUCCUCUCCCUGCCUGGGGGGUUUAUCUAGCUAGUCUAAAUUCUAGAUCAUUGCCUUUCUAUAGGAAAUAUAAAACACACAAAUAAUGAAAUACCCAUAAUCCAAGGCAGAAAUCAUGAGUGUUAUAGUAACAAUGGCCUCAAGAGCUAGACUGCCCAGGCAGCUCAUAUU
rnacentral:lncRNA from 10 species